UACGUAGGGUGCAAGCGUUGUCCGGAAUUAUUGGGCGUAAAGAGCUCGUAGGCGGUUUGUCGCGUCGGCUGUGAAAACCUGGGGCUCAACCCCGGGCCUGCAGCCGAUACGGGCAAGCUAGAGUUCGGUAGGGGAGACUGGAAUUCCUGGUGUAGCGGUGAAAUGCGCAGAUAUCAGGAGGAACACCGGUGGCGAAGGCGGUUCUCUGGGCCUGUACUGACGCUGAGGAACGAAAGCGUGGGGAGCGAACAGG
rnacentral:rRNA from 1 species